rnacentral:lncRNA from 1 species
AAAAAUGAAUAUUGAAUAGGGAAAUUAAUCAAUUCUACUAGAAUUUGAUUGGAAGAAGUUCGAAAAAAAGGGAGUGAAAUUACGGAAUCUUGUCUGUGGUCGGUGAGAAUCACGAGCCAUUAAUAGAGAACCAUAUCAUCUCGACAAAUGCCGACGGUACUGGUUGACUCACUGGAAAGCUGACAAACUUUCAGAAAUUUGAGCUUCACUCAAAUCCUCUGAUUGAGUUUUUGCACAUCCGUCUAGAAAUUAUUAUUUUUGACAAUUUUAAAUCAUUUUCUUUUGCUAAGGUUCCUGAUCUGGAGAUUAUUCUUUAGGAUCAUUCAUCAUCAAGAUUCAAGAAUCCCAAGACUUUGACAGCAAGAAGAAUUAACUACAAGAGAAUCGUGAAAUUGACAAAUCGUCGAAACUUUCAUAUACACGGGUUUGGGAGCAGCAACAUUUAGAGAAUUUGGAAGUCCAGACAUUCCCGACUGUGAUCUAGGUUCUAUCUUUCUUGAAUUGUAUUUGCACACAUAUAUUUACUGUUGUCUUGCCAGCUAUUUUGAUUGGAUUGAUUGUUUUUUUUAAUCUUCUCUACUAGUAUUUUAAGAUUAAGGUUUCAUCUAUUCAUUUUAAUUCUAUGUUUCCAUAGAGAUAGAAUCGUAGACGUGGUUGUUAUUGGUUCUUAGUAGUACUAUUUACCUAAUACCUUUUGCUUAUAGUUGCGGUAGUGAACGGGUUUGGGAGCAGCAACAUUUAGAGAAUUUGGAAGUCCAGACAUCCCCGACUGUGAUCUAGGUUCUAUCUUUCUUGAAUUGUAUUUGCACACAUAUAUUUACUGUUGCCUUGCCAGCUAUUUUGAUUGGAUUGAUUGUUUUUUUUUAUCUUCUCUACUAGUAUUUUAUGAUUAAGGUUUCAUCUAUUCAUUUUAAUUCUAUGUUUCCAUAGAGAUAGAAUCGUAGACGUGGUUGUUAUUGGUUCUUAGUAGUACUAUUUACCUAAUACCUUUUGCUUAUAGUUGCGGUAGCGAACGAUGUGAAAGUAAGGUAAUGUCCUCGGGUAGGGCUGGGGGUGGGGUCCCGGGGUGGGAAGGGGGUAUGAAAGCAUCUUGACUGAGAUUUGGGUCUUGGAACAUUGGUACAUUAAUGGGGAAGUCUAUAGAGUUAGGUAAGAUUCUUCAGAAGAGGAAUAUUUCAAUAGCGUGUGUUCAGGAGACUAGAUGGAAUGGUACUAGCGCACGAGACGUAGACGGGUUUAAACUAUGGUACUCAAGGAGCGUUGGUGUAAAAAUGGGGUUGGCAUUUUAGUUGAUAGGGAUCUCAGGGAGCUCGUGGUUGAGGUUAUGAGGGUAAGUGAUAGGUUGAUGAGUAUUAAGCUGGUAGUUGUAGGUUUACUAUAAAUGUUAUUAGUGCAUAUGCUCCUCAGGUAGGUUUGGACCAGGAGGUCAAGAAGCAAUUCUGGGAGAAUUUGGAUGAGAUGGUGUAUAGUAUCUCGCACACAGAGAAGUUAUUUAUUGGUUGAGAUUUCAAUGGUCAAAUUGGGGUUAGUUCUAGGGGUUAUAAUGAUAUACAUGGCGGGUAUGGUUUUGGGGAUAGAAAUGAGGGAGGUAAUUCUCUAUUGGAUUUUUCUAGAGCUUUUGACUUGGUUAUAGCUAACUCGAGUUUUCCGAGCAGGAAAAGAACUAGGUCACUUUUUGUAGUUCAAUGGGCAAGACCCAGAUUGAUUAUCUUCUCUGCAUGAAAUGCAAUAAAUGUUUGUGCACUAACUGCAAGGUCAUCCCAAGUGAGGACCUCACGACUCUUCAUAGGCUCCUAGUUAUCGACCAGGAGAUUAAAAUGAGUAGGAGGAAGAGGGCGGGGCGCAGGGAACCUAAUAUCAAGUGGGGUAACUUCACCAAGGACAAAUCUCAAGAGUUAGGGGAGAAGUUGUUGGCAAUGAGGGCCUGGAUGAGAAGAGGGGAUAUAUCUAGUAUGUGGUUUACGGCCGCGAAUUGCAUUAAGGUAGUUGCUAGAGAGGUCUUAGGGGUCACGAAGGGCUCUCCUAGGUGUCAUAAAGGGGACUGGAGGUUGAAUGGAGAGUUCAAGGAAAAGAGGAAGCUAAAAAGGUUGCUUAUUUGAAGGUAGUGAAGAUCACAAACGAGGAGGAAAAAAGGACUUAUCGGGAAUGUUACAGAAAGGCAAAGAAAGAGGCGAAGUUAGUAGUUACGACGGCUAAGAACACGACAUUUGCUUAUUUGUACGAGGAGCUCGAGGUCAAAGUAGGGGACAAGAGGUUGUACCAGUUAGCAAAGGUGGGGGAGAGGAAAGCCCGGGACAUACACCAAGUCAAGUGCAUCACGGACGAGGAUGGCAAAAUGUUGAUAGACGAGGAUCUUUUUAGGAGAAGAUGGCAGUUAUACUUCCAUAAAUUGUUGAAUGGGGUGGGGGAUAGACUCAUUUUGCUGAAAGAGUUGGAGCACUUCGAGAGUCAGUGGGAUUUUAGGGUAUUGUAGGUGGAUUAUGGAAGAGGAGGUGGAAGGGGCGAUGUAUACGAUGUCCAGGGGCAGAGCUAUUGGGCCAAACAAAAUUUCGAUGAAAUAUUAGAAAAGCAUAGGGCGAGCAGGUUUGGAGUGGCUCACUGAGCUAUUUAAUGUUAUUUUUAAGAUAAAGAAAAUUCCCGAAGAGUGGAAGUAGAGUACGAUGGUUUCGUUUUACAAUAACAAGGGUGAUAUCUAAAAUUACAAUAAUUAUACGGUUAUCCAAUUGUUCAGUCCCACUAUGAAGGUUUAGGAGAGGGUUGUGGAGGCAAGGGUGAGGAGGUACAUGUCUAAUUUUGAGAAUUAGUUUGGAUUCAUGCCGGGGCAUUCGACUACAGAAGUGAUUCAUCUAGUAAGGAGAUUAGUGGAGAUUUUCAUAUAGUGUUUAUAUUCCUUAAGAAAACAUACAAUAAAGUACUAAGGGAGGUCCUACUAAGCUGUUUGGAGGUUAGUGGCAUUCAAGUAGUGUACACUAGGGUUAUUAAGGAUAUGUACGAUCAAGCUAAGUCUCGGGUGAGGACAAUGGGAGAUGACUCGGAGCAUUUCUCUGUGGUGAUGGGGUUGCACCAGGGAUCGGCUCUUAGCCCAUUUUUAUUUUCUUUGGCGGUGGAUGUACUAUCGCAAAACAUCCAAUGGGAGGUGCCUUGGUUCAUACUAUCUACCAAUGAUAUAGUGUUGAUUGAUGAAACGCGUAGCGGAGUUCACGCGGGGUUAGAUGUUUGGAGACAAACCUUUGAGUCUAAGUGUCUCAAACUAAGUAUAACCAAGAUAGAAUACUUGGAAUGAAAAUUCGGUGACGUGGCCCAUGAUGCAGAUGUAGGGUUAAGCUUCAUGCUCAAGUUAUCCUCUAGAGAGCGAUUAUUAAGUAUCUCGGGUCUAUUAUCCAAGGUAACGAGGAAAUUGACGAAGAUGUCUCCCAUCAUAUCAGAGCGGGAUGGAUGAAGUGGAGGCUUGCUUCUGGUGUUUAAUAUGAUAGGAAUGUGCCGCUAAGACAUAAGGGUAAGUUUUAUCGAGGGUGGUUUGACUGGCUAUGCUAAAUGUGGUUGAGUGUUGGCCAGUGAAGAACUCCCACCUGUAGAAGAUGAGAGUAGCAGAGAUGAUGAUGUUUAGAUGGAUGUGUGGGUGUACCAGGAGAGAUAAGAUUAAGAAUGAAUCUAUCUGAGACAGAGUGGGAGUAGCCUCUAUGGACGACAAAAUGCAGGAGUUGAGGCUGAGAUUAUUCGGACAUGUUAAGAGAAGAAGCAUUGAUGCUCCUAUUAGGAGGUAUGAGAGGUUGGUUAUGGAGAGUUUGAGUAGAGGUCGAGGUAGGCCUAAGAAGUACUGGGAAGAGGUGAUUAGAUAUGAUAUGGCGCUGCUUUAGCUCACUGAGGACAUGACCCUUUAUAAGACGGUAUGGAGGUCGAGGAUUAAGGUACAAGGUUAGUAGGUAGUUUAUAGUUGUUCAUCGAUAGUCUUAGUAGCAUGAAUGUCCCUUCAUAUUCUUAUAUUUCUACUAUGUUAUGUGGUUGUGUUUGCCUCAGGCAUUGUAUUCCCUUCUGCUAUUAUUUGGUAGUACUUAUCCCCCCCCCCCCCCCAAUUUAGAGAAGAAGCAUUGAUGCUCCUAUUAGGAGGUAUGAGAGGUUGGUUAUGGAGAGUUUGAGUAGAGGUCGAGGUAGGCCUAAGAAGUACUGGGAAGAGGUGAUUAGAUAUGAUAUGGCGCUGCUUUAGCUCACUGAGGACAUGACCCUUUAUAAGACGGUAUGGAGGUCGAGGAUUAAGGUACAAGGUUAGUAGGUAGUUUAUAGUUGUUCAUCGAUAGUCUUAGUAGCAUGAAUGUCCCUUCAUAUUCUUAUAUUUCUACUAUGUUAUGUGGUUGUGUUUGCCUCAGGCAUUGUAUUCCCUUCUGCUAUUAUUUGGUAGUACUUAUCCCCCCCCCCCUCCAAUUUUCAUUUCUCUUCCUUCCUUACUUUCUACUUCUUCUUCGUGUCCUUCCUAAGCCAAGUGUCUAUUGGAAUGCCCUCUCUAGAUGCAUUACGUGAGGGUAAGGUCUGUGUACAGACUACCCUCCAUCGAUUGGGAUUAAACUGGGUUUUUUGUUGUUGUUGCUACUUUUGGUGGUAGUGGGAUUGGGUUGCGCUCCGCAAUAGGAAUAAUAAGGGUGGACAGGUGGGAUCGGCUUGCACGCUGUAACAAGAGUAAUAAGGGUGAAUGUUCAUUAUGUUAAUUAUGAUAUAGUGGGAUCGGGAUGCACGGCGCGUCAUUUUAUUGUUUAUAUAUUCUUCCUCUACUACGAUUUUAUUCUAUACUAUAAUAACCCUCUAAAGGAUUGGUUAUAGCUGAGAACUGGCAAGAUAAUUGAGUUUUGUAUUUAUUUUACUACAAGUUACUAUUCCAUUUCAUUCUGUAAUUCCUUCUGAUUUAUUAUAAACUGGAUGCAAGUUAUAUUGCAAAAGUCCCGCCUUAGCCUCGUCACUACCUUGUCGAGGUUAGGCUCGACAUUUACCAGUACAUGGGAUUGGUUGUACUGAUACUGCACUCUAUUCUUUCAGUGUAGAUUUUGGAGUUGGUCGUGGCUGAUCGAGAGGUCAGUUGCAGGCAUUCAUCUAUGAGACCCAAGGUAAUCAUACAAGCGUCCGCAGGCCCUGACGUCCCCUCCUAUGCUCUACAUUCCUGUUUUAUUUUUCUUUCGAGAAAGAUGUACUUUUCUUUCAAAGCAAUACUUGUAGAUAUUCGUAGAAUGUUUGUGGGUUGUGACACCAGUUUUUGGGUGGUUAUAGUUUCAAAAUUUUAAUUGUAUAUAGAUAACUGAUUUAUUAUGUACUUCCGUUUUUAUUUGUGUUGAUUUAGUUUUUCAUAAAUUUUAAUUAUAAAAAUAUAAAGAAAAAAGGUGAAUAGAACUCUUACAUUGGCUUGCCUAGCGACUGCAACGUUAGGCGCCAUCACGAUCCUUACGGUGGAAAAUUCGGGUAUUGACAAUUACGCAAUACACUUACCUGUUUUUGGAUAUUAAAUGAUUUUAUUUAUCAAUAGCAAAUAUGUACAAAUUCUAUCUGGAACAUGACAUUCCAAGUUCCAUUCCUUUUUCAACAUUUCUUCUAUUUUCCUUUAUAGUAGGUAAUCUAUUUCUGCUAUUCUUUUUUCUAUCUUAAUAUUCAUCGAUCCUCUUAUUGUUACCUCUAGUAAAAUUUGCCGCACUAUCACUUCCACUAUUUUCUGCUGACCUUGGAAUACUCUUCUGUUCCUUUCAUUCCAUAUGUGGUACAUUGCACAUGCCAGAAUCAAUCUAUAGACUUGAGCAGGUGAAUUGUUUCCAGUUGCUUUCCUUUCAGCCCAUUGUAUAUCCCUUUGCCAUUCCAUUGGUGCUCUUAGUAUUUCUUGCAAGUGUAGUGACUUUCUCCAUGUAUCUCUAGCAAUUCUACAUUUAAACAUCAGAUUAUCAGUAGUCUCUUCUACUUCAGUGCAUAAAAGGUUGCUUACUUCAUCUGCAAUCCCCAUAUGUGUAGUCUGCUUCUUGUAAGGAGCAUGUUUUGUAUAGCUAGCAUGCUAUUGUACCACUUCUUGAUAAAGAAGUAGCUCUAUUCUAUCAUUUCCUUUAUGUUGCCUCCUGCUUCUUCUAUGUAUCUCUUUUCUUUUACUAAUUUCUGAACUAUACAUGAUGCAUUCCUUGGUUUGCUAUCCAACACUUCUUGUUUCUUCUCGUAAUACAGAUCGAUCAAUUGGACCCAUAGCUUGUUCUUCUUCUUGGACAAGUUUUAUAAUAAUUUGCAAAUUGCAGCUUUAUUCCAUGUUUGAAUGUCCAUAACAUUGAAACCUCUUGUUGUAUUUGGAGAGCACACUUUUUCCAAUGAAAUCAAACCUUUUUUAAAGCAUAUGUUCCUCCAAUCCACAAGAAUAUUCUGCAUAUUAUUUCUAUCCUCUUUAUUAUGUGCUUAGGGGUAAUAAAUAUCCGUGCCCAAUAGAUCUGUAUAGAGAAUAGAACUGUUUUGAUCAGUUGCAAUUUGCCUGUAUAAGAUAAGAACUUUCAAGUCUAUGAGGUGAUGCAGCCUAAUAUCUUAUCCAUUAGUGGUUGGCAUUGAAACAAAGAUAUCCCCUUAGUGAUGAGUGGUACUCCAAGAUAUUUGAAUGGCAAUCUCCCCUACUAUAACCAGUUACCUGCACUAUGUUUUCCUAUAUACUCUGUGGGACACCUCCAAAAUUAAUGGAGCUCUUUGCUGCAUUUGCUUUAAUCCAGAUGCCUUAGAGAAAUCCAUAAAACAGUAGAACACCAUUUGAAUGGAGAUUGUAUCACCUUUGCUAAAUAGCAGCAGAUCAUUUUCAAACCCUAGUUAGAUGAUAUUUAACUUGUCACAUCUAGGAUGGAAAUUGAAAUCUGGCUUAUACCUCAGGGAUUUAAAGCUCCUUGUGAGAUAUUCCAUACCUAGAACAAAUAAAAAUGGUGAUAAUGGAUCGCCCUGCCUUAGUCCUCUUCUUGCUAAAAAUGGUUCCAUUGGUUUUCCAUUGAUGAUAAUUGAAUAAGAUACUGUUCUUAUGCACACCAUAAUCCAUUUUAGAAAAUUCUCUAGCAUUCCUAGGUUUUUCAGCACUUGUUCUAAGAAGUCCCACCCUACAGAAUCAUAUUCCUUUUGCAAGUCCAAUUUUAUCAUACAUAUAGAAGAGAUGAUCUUCCUCCCAUACCCUUUCACAAACUCAUGACUUAGGAUUAUGUUAUCUGCUAUGACUCUUCUAAGAAUAAAACCAGAUUAACUUUUGUUAACUAGGUGAUCCAUCACCCUUGCAAUCUAUUGGUCAAGGUUUUUGAGAUGAUCUUGUAUGGAACUCCGCAGCAUGAAAUAGUUCUGAAAUAUUUGAUAAUUGAAGGGUGCUACAUCUUAGGGAUCAAAGUGAUAGUUGUUACAUUAAUUGGCUUGUACAUUUCAGAUUUGUUGAAGAACUAGAGCACUGCCUCAGAUACUUCUUGCCAUGUUAUCCCCCAUGUUUUCUUCAAAAACUUUGAGUUGAAACCAUUACAUCCUGGGGCAUUUAGUUCAUCUAUUUCUUUCAAAGCUUGUUGAAUCUCUUCUUGUAAUCGUUACUUCCUAUAUAGUACAUUGCCCUCCUUCAUAGUGCCUACUUGAAUGGUUGGUAUGCUAUCGGCUACUUAUCCUAAUUGGCCUUGAUAAAAUCGUACUCUUUCCAUUUCGAUUGCUUUCCUAGACUAAAUUAUUUCACCAUUUGUAUUCUCAAACUUCUAAUAAUAUUUUGCUUUACUCUAUUCUUCAUGUUAGCAAAGAAGAAUGCUAUAUUGUGAUCCCUUAGUUUCAACCAUUGGUUCUAGGAUUUAUGUUUAUAGAUACUUUGUCUAUACUUGUCCACUUCUCCAAUUGUUGCUUUAGUUCUUUUUCUUCUUCAAAAUUGCGUGUUGAUGCACUUGUAUUUCCCAUCUACCAUUGUAUCUCCUGUAGCCUCUGCUUUGCAUUUUCACGUUCAAUUCUACUGCUUAAAAUUCUUUUGUGUACAGCCUCUUUAGUGCAUAUCUAACUUCCUUCAUCUUUCUCUAGACUUCUGCCAUUCUGCCCAUUUUUUGGUGUUUUAUUCCAUGCUUCCCCUACUACUUCUAAGAAAUCCUUAUGCUCAGCUAGACAAUUGAAGAAUCUAAAAGGCUUUGGGGUCUUUUCUUUAUAUCCAAUAUGGACACAUAAUGGGGAGUGAUAUGAGAAUAAAGGAUCCAUAAUCGCUGCAUCUACUUGUGGUAUGGUAUUUAUCCAUUCUGCAUUUAUGAUAGUCCUAUCUAUUUAACAAAAUACAUGUGAAUUAGUCCAUGUGUAGUCCUUACGCACAGUCCUCAUUUCACACAUUCAUGUAUCUAUUAUGAAAUCUUUAAAAUCUCUUAUUUCAUUCUCUUGGACUAUGCUGCCAUUAAUUCUAUCCACCACUAUCAUUAUUGCUAUGUAGCCUCCCAUACAUAUCCAUGGUUUUCUCUGAUAGUAGUUCGAGUUUGUUAAAUCCCUCCAUAGUCUUUUCCUUGCCUCCAUUGUAUGCGACCCAUAAAUUACUGUGAAGUGAAACACUUGCCUCGUGUCCACUACCACUACCUCUCCAUGCAUGUAUUGUCGUUUAUCUUCUUUCAUAUUGAAUUUUAUUUCUGUUGGAUCCCAUAUUACCCAUACUCUAUCCUUUCCACCUCCAUCAUAGUUUGUACACCAAUUCCAUCUAGGACCUACUUCUUGGAUGAUUUUAUUUGAAAACUUUUCUUGUACUCUAUGUUCUAUAAUAGCUUUAGUACUAAUACUAUGCUCUUUAAUAAACUUCUACAUCUCUGUUUGAUUAUAUAGCUUAUUCAUUCCCUUAACAUUCCAAAUAACUAAUUGCAUUGCACUAUGCUGUUCGUUAUCCCCUCUUUCACUCCUUGCCUAUUCCUACAUUGCCAUAUAUUUUCCUUAUCUAGAUCAUUAAAGCUUGUUUCAGUAAGAAUAUUAAAUCCAUUAUUUGUAUUCUUUGUGGCUGAUUUUCCUUUUGCUGCUUGCCAUCCUUUGUUUUCCUCUAUUGCUACUUUCGUUAUAUUCUGCAUUUUAGGUAGUUGUUCUUUAUUUUCUGUUGCUUCAUAUGCCUUAUGAAUUGUGCUUCCUUUCUCCUGUUCUUUUUGUUCCAUUCCUGCUUCUGCUUCUGCUGCUUGUUCAUUUGAGACUGUGUUUGUUUAUUUUUGCAGUUAUGUCCCAAUUGUAAGCAAGUACUAUAAACAUUGGCUUCCAAUCAUAGACAACAGAUUGAUCAAAUUGCCUACCACUCGGAUCAUUGAUUGUUAUAUUUGUUUGUAAUGUCCAUUUCUACAAUGAUUCUACCAUAUGAUAUACUUUCCACUUUGUUGUAUUUUCAUUUUCAUAUAUUGGAAUUCCCAAUCCACUACCUAUACGACUCAGGGAAUCCAUUGCCU